AAGGAUCAUUACAAGUGAGGCUAUCGACCGUUGGAAACGGCGGUUAGAAGCUUACACCCACCCGUGUUUACAUACUAUUGUUGCUUUGGCGGGCCGUGGCCUCCACUGCGGGCUCUGCUCGUGUGUGCCCGCCAGAGGACCAAAUUCUGAAUGUUAGUGAUGUCCGAGUACUAUUUAAUAGUUAAAACUUUCAACAACGGAUCUCUUGGUUCUGGCAUCGAUGAAGAACGCAGCGAAAUGCGAUAAGUAAUGUGAAUUGCAGAAUUCAGUGAAUCAUCGAAUCUUUGAACGCACAUUGCGCCCUGUGGUAUUCCGCAGGGCAUGCCUGUUCGAGCGUCAUUUAACCACUCAAGCCUGGCUUGGUAUUGGGGCACGCAGUCUCGCGGCCCUCAAAAUCAAUGGCGGCGCUGGUGGGCUCUAAGCGUAGUACAUACUCCCGCUAUAGAGUUCCCCUGGUAGCUUGCCAGAACCCCCAAUUUUUACAGGUUGACCUCGGAUCAGGUAGGGAUACCCGCUGAACUUAA
rnacentral:rRNA from 1 species